AGAACGAACGCUGGCGGCAGGCCUAACACAUGCAAGUCGAACGCUCGUAGCAAUACGGGAGUGGCGCACGGGUGAGUAACGCGUGGGCACCUGCCCGGUGGUUUGGGAUAACCGUGGGAAACUGCGGCUAAUACCGGAUACGCCCCUAGGGGGGAAAGAUUUAUCGCCAUCGGAUGGGCCCGCGUAGGAUUAGCUAGUUGGUGAGGUAACGGCUCACCAAGGCUACGAUCCUUAGCUGGUCUGAGAGGAUGAUCAGCCACACUGGGACUGAGACACGGCCCAGACUCCUACGGGAGGCAGCAGUGGGGAAUAUUGGACAAUGGGGGCAACCCUGAUCCAGCCAUGCCGCGUGAGUGAAGAAGGCCGUUCGGGUUGUAAAGCUCUUUUGGCGGGGACGAUGAUGGACCGGUACCCGCAGAAUAAGCCCCGGACUAACUUCGUGCCAGCAGCCG
rnacentral:rRNA from 1 species